rnacentral:rRNA from 1 species
GACAGAGGGUGCAAACGUUGUUCGGAUUUACUGGGCGUAAAGGGCGCGUAGGCGGCGUGACAAGUCACUUGUGAAAUCUCCGGGCUUAACUCGGAACGGUCAAGUGAUACUGUCGUGCUAGAGUACAGAAGGGGCAACUGGAAUUCUCGGUGUAGCGGUGAAAUGCGUAGAUAUCGAGAGGAACACCUGCGGCGAAGGCGGGUUGCUGGGCUGAUACUGACGCUGAGGCGCGAAAGCGUGGGGAGCGAACAGG